rnacentral:tRNA from 1 species
GUCCCUGUAGCGCAAUGGACAGCGCGUUGGACUUCUAAUCGAAAGGUCGUGGGUUCGAAUCCUACGUGGGAUG